GAUGUGGCGUAUAGAGAUAUAGUUUGAAACACUGGAGUAAUCAUUUCAUUUCGUUAAUAUGGAUAAAAGAAUGAUUUAUAAUCAGCUUUGGUUGUUUUGUAUGUUUGUCACCUUGCUGUAUGUGUUCCACUAAAUCUUUAUAGAUUUCCCACCUGUCACUAUCAGCUCAUCACUGUGGACUUUAACCGGCAGUUUUUCAGACAUAUGAAUUCAGUAUGUUUCUGAUGAUUCCUCCUCUCUUUCUUCCCCUUUAUGUUUUCUUUUUUCUUUUCUUUUUUUCUUUCUUUUUUUUUUUUUGCAGCUCUGGGUAAAGACCGUGUCAGGCGCUCGGCGUACUGCAGCGUCUGGGGACCAUAAAUAGGGACGGACUGAUUCUGCUUCCUGUCAGCAGCCAGCACAGAGGACGAGGACGUGGUGUAUUGGAUGUGAGACAGAGAGCCAGCUAGAGAUACGGCAAGGUGUCGCUUCCGCUUGUAGCGCACCACACUAUACAGAGAAACUUUCACCCAGAAUGCAUAGCAGCAAGCAGCAUGUGGUGUGCGGCUGAGUUCCUGUCUCGCUUUCAGAAGGACCUCUGCACCAGCACCACACACAGUGUCACAAACGACUCAUCCAACGAUCCGUUCUAAAGGAUUCAUUCUAAGCUCCUCCUUUCAGAGAGCAUACUCUGCUCUGAUUGGUCAGAUGUCCCAGUCUGUUGUGAUUGGUCUACCGCUGUCAGCGUGUUUCAAAAAGGAAACGCCCACUACCAUAAUGAGUUUCAGCUCCAUCUGUCCUCGAGCAGCCAAUGAAGACCAGAGGCGGGGUUUAUUGUUACAAACCUACGUAGGUUAGUACAGGAAAUAAGUCUGGAAUCACUAACGACUCGUUUCAGCUGUUCAGAAUCAGUUCCUUCUUUGAGAGAUAAUAACCCCGUUUGUCGUGCGCUUUGCAGAUUUUUCACCUUCACAAACAGCUACAUAACACUACAUGAAAGGUAAUAUUUGAAAAACCAUAAUAGGUGCACUUUAAUAUGGCUUAUAAAUAAGAACGUUUAUAACAAUUAGCAUUUUGGGGUUCUAUUUAUUAUAUUUAUGUAUUGUUUUUUCAGUAAUGUAAAACGUAACUGUGAGGAAUAACGUACAAUUUAACAUCUUGUUACUCCGCUGACUUUCUCCUCUAGGGCUCUCUGAUCUCUGAUGAGAUGAUUAUUCCCAGUUACAGUAACAAGUGACCAGUUUUAUUUGAAAUAAAAGCAUAACAUACUUGAAAUACUUGCGGAUUUAAACGGAUCUUUCUCUCUACCUCGUUAUCUAAACUGCACUAAAUCAUUCAGUGCAGCCAAAAUGAACCAGGCUUAAAAACGUAAAAAAUGAACUCUACCUUCCUCGUUACUAUACUAUGAAAUGACUGCACAUAUUUCAGUACCACAUCAAGAACGAUGAAGCCCCAUGAAUGAAAUUUAAGGAGUCUUUAAAGUUCAACCAGUUAGUAUAUAUCACUCACCAAGUACUGGGUGCUUUCGUUUGUGCAUCUCGACCGUGGUCUGCUAUGAGAUAAGGUAUCUCUGCUUUUACUUUCACUAAGGGAUCAGAGUUUCUGGUUCUCUAUGCAGGCGCUAGAGAGAGCGAGAGAGAGAGAGAGAGAGAGAGCGAGAGAGAGCGAGCGAGAGAGAGAGAGAGCGAGCGAGCGAGAGAGAGAGCGAGCGAGAGAGAGAGCUCGGUUCACCCUCUUGUUUUCUACAGUACCAGUCAUGUUCACAUGAACGCAGUGUGAAAUGACAUUAAACCAUCCCCCCCCCCCCCACAUUCAGCUUUGUUUAACUUCUGAUCUAACAAGAAGGCUGUAUGUUGCAAGUGUUACCUGUCAGUCUUUUUUUUUUGUUCCUUAAAACUGCCUCUGCAUUGUCAGGUCUGAAAACAGUGUACAUGCUGCAUUACAUGGUGUAUCAGCGCUGCAUAUCAAUGGCUUCACUGUGGUAUUACCCAGGAAUGGAGGCCUGUGUGCACGUACAUGUCUGUUAUUUGUUAAUAAAUAGCUAGUUGAAUAUAAAAAUCACAGAUGAUCGUUUUUCAUGCAUGCAUCCAUCCUUUUCCCAUACCGCGUAUCCUCACAGAGUCACGGGGAGCCUGGAGCCUGUCUCAGGACUCGAGGCACGAGGCAGGGGGACACCCUGGACAGGGUGCCAACCCAUCGCAGUGCACAAUUGCACACACCCAUUCACACACUACGGAUAAUUUGGAAAUCCCUAUCAGCCUACAAUGCAGGUUUUUGGACUGGGGAGGAAACUGGAGUACCCGGGGGAAACCCUCCACAAACUCCGCACACACCGGGCAGCGAAGGGUGGGAUUCAAACCCCCAACCCCAGUCAUUCGAGCAAACAUGCUAACUACUAAAGCCACCGUGCCCCCUGAUCGUUUUUCAUAAUUGAUUUAUUGGACUAAUCAUUGCCUGAAACUAGUAUGAAACUGUCUUUAACAACGUAUAAAUGUUUCACUGUUACAUUUAACGUUUGGGAGAAUAUUUGUAAACCAUAAUAGUACUGACACACUUGCGAUAGACAUAAAAUAAACAUCCAUGGUGCGUCAGGCUUUUGCACGGAACACACCGGGGAGAUCAUGGUGCAGCAGGAAGCUUUGCUGCCUCUCAGGAUCCCUAGAUUUUCAUCCUGAGCUCAGAGCUCCGGUUAUUGAGUGUGCAGGGUUCUCGCCUUGCAACACUGUAUACCGUAUAAUGGAUAUAGGAACGCUUUUGGGUCGUACACAACAUUUUCCAGAGAAACAGGAUGUUUUAUCAGCAAAAUGGUUCUGAACAUAGCCUAGCUAAUGGUUUUUAGCUCAAAUUUAAUCACCUGUCUGUUUAUAGAUGCGUUAUCACUGGUGUGGUGCGCUAGAAGUCUGGAAAGAUGUCGGAUGUCCCUACAGCUGAAUUCUGGAGCACAGUGAUGUGUUUUUUUACACAAUGUUACAGUUUGAAGUGGUCGGCUUGUUGGAUAUCAGUUCAGUUUGUGAUCAGAUAACAUCGAUGCUGCUGCGCCAUCACAUCAUCAGCAAUACAGAGAAGAGCGCUUACACGGUCUGUACAGAUGACAGCGGGCAAAGAACAGAACUGACCGCAUUAAUCAGCGAUUAUUUCACUACCUGUGCAAGCAUGAACGAAGAGCGCGAUCUCUUAUGUUAAGAGACUGAUGCGAAAGAUGCUGAUAAUCAAAAUGAGAACUCAUUAAAUAGGUUAGGUUACAAACAUAGGGCAUCUUUCAAAUGUCACAAUAUGACUUGCAGGACUGUAGAAAAGUCUUAUGCUCACGCAAAGAAAUGCUGUAGACAAAAGAUGCGUUCAAAAAUAAUGAAAUGAAAUGUUUCCUAAAAGUAUUAAAAAGAAUACUGUAAAGAGCAGUAAGAGAUGAAACAAAGGAGAUAUAUUUGGUGUGACGACGCUUUGCUUUAAUAGUUUCAGGUAGAAUUAGUGUAGUUUUAUAAGAAAAUGAGCUAUAAGUUUUAUUGAGCAUCUUCCAGAACCAGACACAGUUCUUCUGUGUUUUCUGUCUGAGACGUGUCUCUUACCACUUAAUAUCUUGCUUUCUUUAAUGACAUGCAAACAUUUUUCUGUAACAUUUAAUUUUGUGCUGGAAAACUAAUGUUUGGGAAUUAAAUUUUUUUUUUAUACUGACUCAGUAAUGUAGAAGUUAUAAAAUAAAUAAUCUAUACUAAAGUUUGUACUAAAGAAAAAUAGGGUGCUUAAACUUUUAGCAGGGGCACACACACUAAAGCUGUGCUCGUGCCACGUCGUAAUUACCGUAAGUACGAGAUUCUGACUUGUCAAAAGCGUUCACAUCUUCAUAGAAGUCAUAAUUACUACUAAACUAUGAAUUUUCUGAGAGCUCCGACUUCGCUGCGACGUCAUGUGGAAACACUCGAGCAGUUAUCUCGUAAUAUUACUGUGUAAUAAUUUGCAUAAUUGACCUUUUAAUGUUUUAAUAAUACAAGGUUAAUCUGAAAAUAAAUGAAAGACAUAGCACAGAGUUGGAGUUGUGGUUUAGGUUUGCAACAACACACUAUUAAUGAACUAUUAAUGCGCUAUUAAUAAACAUGUUAUUGUUACCUGAUACGCUUUCUGUGUUCUUUCAGUAUUUAGCAUUAGUAUAAAAAUGUGAUAAUGUUGUAAUUAUGUAUUUUGCAGUUGUAUUUUGGCACAUAGAAUCGCAUAAUUCCGAGUGCGAGGAUGUGACCGGCUCCGAGAAGAACGUCCGAAUUGUCGUUUGUAAUUCUGGUAAUUCCCACAUGGCAUGAACGCAGAGUGAGUUCCAGUUCACGUUCACUUUCAUUAGCCAGCAUAUGAAGAAUGUACAGCUGCUUGUCACGUGCCAGAGUAGAAAUGGAAGAGAAAGAGGCGUAGCAUCAAACAGACUUCACUGAAUAUUAAAAGUAUAAAACAAGUUUUUGUGGAAAAGAAGUUUUUUAAUAAAUAAAGAAGGCGAAGGCUGACUUCUUCCUGGCACUGUUUUAGCCAAUACUGAAUAAGGAAUUGUGAGCCGUUGCGAAGAAUUUAUCUUUCUAACAAGUUCUUUCCUGAAAACGAGGAAACUGUAUUGUUAGAAAAUCUACAAUCACAGUCUCCAGUUUACUCCUAUGUGUGAUUCGAAGAGUACCUACAGGAAACGUAUAGUGUGCUUAAUAGCACUUUCUAUCUCUCUCUCUCUCUCUAUCUGUGUGUGUGUGUGUGUGUGGCAGGUUUGCAUGUUCAAUAUGUACAUCACAACGCUCCAUCAUGACACUUUGACUCAUUUCAUUCAUCUGCCGUGCUUUUUAUUUUCAGUAUGACUGUAAUGCACCUAAACACCAGUGUGGCACAGCCUCCGCUAGUUCAUUCCAUG
ensembl:lncRNA